UAUGGCAAAGGGACAAUGUACUUGUUUUUUUGUUCCGUUUUGGCAAUUUUUUCAAAAAUAAAUGAGAUGGGAAGAGAGUCAAUUCUCACUUUUCUCACCAUCAUCAAUCUCAGAGAUGGUUCAUAUGACUAGUUCGCAACCCAGGUUUCACCAAAUGUUGGCUUUAUUUGGUGGAGAAAAGAUAGCAUUUUGAUAACUAAAGGUCAGAUCUUUGCUUGUCAUAGGAUGAGUGAGAGAUUAUUGGUUGGUGGGGCUUGAUUCAUUCGCUUUCAGAUUUGAUUUUCUUUUUUUCCUGUGGAUUCGUGAAUGCUUAUUUUGAUGAUUGAAAAUUUGAAACUUUUUGUGUGCUACUUGAUUUCAGAGGCGUGCUAGCUAACGUUAAAGACGAGGAACAAAGCCGACUGUAAAUAUGUUCAAGCUUUUGAUUUGGAGAGACUUUAGACAAAAGCUGUUGUGAGCUUUCAGAUGGGUUCGCUCUGUUGUGUGGCUGCAAAAUCAGACAGAUCAUACUCUGCAAGUCCUGACUUUUCCUUUGGCCCUCACGAGCCUUAUUGGAGGACUAACUCAAGUUUCUCUCCACCUUCUUCCUUAUAUGUAUGGUUUAGAUCUGUCUAGCAAUGGACUAAGUGGUGUUAUACCAUCUGAGAAUAGUUAGGCCACAUUGUACUCCCAUACACAACAUUGUGUGUUUGAUUGUGGUUGGCGUUGGCGUCGAGCAUGAAUCAUCCUUGUGGAUGCUUUCAUCAGCUCUGGGAAAAAUGUGUAUAAGUCUUAAAAUGAUUUCAUUAGUAAACUAUUGUGUCCCUGAAUGAAAUGUGCUGAGACACUGAGAAUUCAACAGACCUCGAAGAUCCUCUCUAUUUGGUUAUUGAAACAAACCAAAAGUUUCCAAAGUCAAAGCCACAACAACAACUAAUGUUACCGUUGGCAUUUUCUUAAAGUCUGUUCACUUAUUUAGAAAAAUAUCUUUCUAGAAAAAUAUAUUUCCACUUGUCCAUUUUAUUUUCUUGAUUAUAUGUUAGCUUUGAUAUUGAUAAUCAUUGAAAAUAUAGAUAUGAUAUUUUUUCUUUGAUAAGGAUUGUUUGAGUUUAUCUUUUCAUUAGUUAGUUACAAAUAUUUUCACAAAUAUUUUCACAUAUAUAUAGAUGUGUAUCAAAGCCAAGAAUCAUACCUGAACAAUAGAAGUGGAGACGUGCAGCAGCUUCUUUGGAAAAAGAAAGGUUAGAGUUUUUAUCUUUAUUAUUGUUUAUGUUUCUUUUUCUACAUUAACAUGAGUGGUUUUGUGAAAAGUUUUACUUGUUGAAUUAUACAGUUGCGUUGUGUUCUUCUAGGUUUUCUAUAAUGUUUUAUGUUUCUUUUAACAAUUUGGGUAGCUAUCUCCUGCACUAAAAUGGGAGAUCAAGAAGGAAAAAUUAAAAAUCAAUAUAUUUCUUGGCCGCCCGAAGAAACCAAAACAUUGUUGCGCUUGUUGGUUGAUGGAGUUAAUAAGAAUUGGACUGAUGCCAGCGGUAAAUUCAAUAAACUUACCGUGGAACAAAGAAUACUACCAGAGUUGAACAGAAUCUGUGGAUCUACAAAAACCUUUUCCCAAUACAAAAACAAAACAAAGAUUCUGAAGAAAAGACACAAGAGUUUUGUAGAUCUUCUUCGUUUUAGUUCAGGAUUUGGUUGGGACAAGGAUUUACUGCUCCAGAUGAAGUAUGGAAUGAUUACUUGCAGGGACACAAGAAAGAUAAAUACACGUUUGAAGAUUUUGAAGACCUGGAGAAGAUCUAUGGAAAAAAUAUUGCAAAGGGAAAUAAUACAGUGGGGUUAGGCGAUACCACAGAUGCUCGUACUUCUAUGGCAGAAGAUAAUCAAUGGGAAUAUCAAGAGGCAUAUAUUCCUCAAAGGGUUUGAGGAUUUUAAAAUUUAGUGGAAUUUAGAGAGUUUUGUUAAAUUUUGCUACAGACAGAACAUAGCACUUCUGAUCUCUUUCCGUUUUUUUUGUUUGUUCAAAUCACUUCUGAUUUAUUUCCG